rnacentral:rRNA from 3 species
ACGAACGCUGGCGGCGUGCUUAACACAUGCAAGUCGAACGGAAAGGCCCGCUUGCGGGUACUCGAGUGGCGAACGGGUGAGUAACACGUGGGCAACCUGCCCUCAGCUUCGGGAUAACACUUGGAAACAGGUGCUAAUACCGGAUAAUAACUUUUCAUCGCAUGGUGGAUGGUUCAAAGUUUUUCGGCUGAGGAUGGGCCCGCGGCCUAUCAGCUUGUUGGUGGGGUAAUGGCCUACCAAGGCGACGACGGGUAGCCG